GACAGCCUAGAGCGCAGCCUUGGUUCAGCUUCUGACAUUCAGGUUGGCAGAGGGCCUGGCUCCAGCUGUCCCUGUGCCCUGUUUGCAAGGAUGUAUAGAAGGUCACUCACAGCCAGCCCCUUUCCCUGUUCUGAUAACAUCGGAGGGAGCUCCCCAGCUGAAAGGCAAUCUCCAGCAAAUCUCAGGCUGGCCAUCAGGCAAGAUCGGAGGACAAAGAGCGAUUGUUGAUGGAGUGCUCCGAUCCUGCAGAAAGGUCAACUCCAAUUUUUCCCAGACACUAAAGAAAGACUCAGCCUUUGGCCCCAGGCUCUCCACUUUGAUCCCAGCCUUCAUAAAUUGUCCCCUGAUACAAGUUCCAAAAAGCAGGUGAUAACAGAUGGCUGGAGAAUCACCGAUGACCUGCACACUUCUCUUGGGGGACAGAGUUGAUAAUGUCUCUUCACAACUGGAAUUGUAGCUGCAUGCUUGGAAACACAGUACAAGCCACUCGCCC
ensembl:lncRNA